AGUACCACGCUCCACCAACCAGUACCACGCUCAACCAACCAGUACCAUGCUCAAUCAACCAGUACCAUGCUCAAUCAACCAGUAUCAUGCUCCACCAACCAGUACCACGCUCAACCAACCAGUACCAUGCUCAAUCAACCAGUACCACGCUCCACCAACCAACCAACUGAGCCAUUGAGGUGCAGGGUGCUGAGGCGGACACACAGCGUCACCCCCUUUUCCCGUGUACUAAUCCCCUAAUUAGCGUCUGUGGACGAGCGGAGUGGCGCUCCGGGGAAUGGGGAAAUAGGGAGGCUCUCACUGCAGAGUUUUCUCUACAAGCAGUUAUUCUUAUUAAUUGCAUAGCAAUAGCACCAAAAAUACACUGACUAGACACAAGGGAGUGUGAUGAAAUGUUACGCUCUGCUUUUUGUGUUUGUCAUCGUGCUGGGUUGGUGUGUGUGUGUGUGUGUUUUUUGGGUCAGCAGGACUAAUGUUAAUUCGCAGCGACUUCACCCCUGAAUAAAAAACACAUGUUUAAUCACCCUGAGGAAAAUCUAUCAGGUUUAUUAACUAGAAGAAUAGAAGAAUAAAGAAAACCUUUAACUCUCCAUUUGCUUUUCUUUCUAGAUGAUGAUCAUUAUGGGUAUCAUUGGAGUUCUUGUGGUCGGAGUCCUUUUCUUGUACUUCUUCUAUUGAGUAAUCCAGCGUGGCAGGACACAGACAUGAGAGCGAAAUAGGAGAGAAAAUC